UGGCUCCUACGGGACGCAGCAGUGGGGAAUAUUGCACAAUGGGCGAAAGCCUGAUGCAGCAACGCCGCGUGAAGGAAGAAGGCCUUCGGGUCGUAAACUUCUGUCCUUGGGGAAGAAGAACUGACGGUACCCAAGGAGGAAGCCCCGGCUAACUACGUGCCAGCAGCCGCGGUAAUACGUAGGGGGCAAGCGUUAUCCGGAAUUAUUGGGCGUAAAGAGUACGUAGGGGGAAACCUAAGCGCAGGGUUUAAGGCAAUGGCUCAACCAUUGUUCGCUCUGCGAACUGGGAUGCUUGAGUGCAGGAG
rnacentral:rRNA from 1 species